UCUCGGAGAAUUACAGUAGAUCUAGUUGGUGUCUUCUUGAACUUGAAAAAAUCAUGGAAAACCGUGGUACUCAUGGUCAAAUAGUUAUACCAAUAUUUUACCAUAUUGAUCCAGCCAUUGUUCGUCGUCA
rnacentral:pre_miRNA from 1 species